AGUUAAUGAACUUGUAUAAGUGUAUAUUUUGAAAAUAUAAAAAAGAAUAAAAUUUCUAUUAACUU
rnacentral:tRNA from 1 species